CCUACGGGUGGCAGCAGUGAGGAAUAUUGGUCAAUGGGCGCGAGCCUGAACCAGCAAAGUAGCGUGAAGGAUGACUGCCCUACGGGCUGUAAACUUCUUUUAUAAAGGAGUAAAGUGAGGCACGUGUGCCUUUUUGUAUGUACUUUAUGAAUAAGGAUCGGCUAACUCCGUGCCGGCAGCCGCGGUAAUACGGAGGAUACGAGCGUUAUCCGGAUUUAUUGGGUUUAAAGGGAGCGUAGAUGGGUUGUUAAGUCAGUUGUGAAAGUUUGCGGCUCAACCGUAAAAGUGCAAUUGAUACUGGCAGUCUUGAGUACAGUUGAGGUAGGCGGAAUUCGGUGUGUAGCGGUGAAAUGCUUAGAUAUCACGAAGAACUCCGAUUGCGAAGGCAGCUUACUAAACUGCCACUGACAUUGAUGCUCGAAAGUGUGGGUAUCAAACAGGAUUAGAUACCCCAGUAGUC
rnacentral:rRNA from 1 species